rnacentral:rRNA from 1 species
CAUGCACCGAAGCUGCGGCAGCGACACUGUGUGUUGUUGGGUAGGGGAGCGUUCUGUAAGCCUGUGAAGGUGUGUCGUGAGGCAUGCUGGAGGUAUCAGAAGUGCGAAUGCUGACAUAAGUAACGAUAAAGCGGGUGAAAAGCCCGCUCGCCGGAAGACCAAGGGUUCCUGUCCAACGUUAAUCGGGGCAGGGUGAGUCGACCCCUAAGGCGAGGCCGAAAGGCGUAGUCGAUGGGAAACGGGUUAAUAUUCCCGUACUUGGUGUUACUGCGAAGGGGGGACGGAGAAGGCUAUGUUGGCCGGGCGACGGUUGUCCCGGUUUAAGCGUGUAGGUGUGUGUUCCAGGUAAAUCCGGUUCACUUUAACACUGAGGCGUGACGACGAGGCACUACGGUGCUGAAGCAACAAAUGCCCUGCUUCCAGGAAAAGCCUCUAAGCAUCAGGUAACAUCAAAUCGUACCCCAAACCGACACAGGUGGUCAGGUAGAGAAUACCAAGGCGCUUGAGAGAACUCGGGUGAAGGAACUAGGCAAAAUGGUGCCGUAACUUCGGGAGAAGGCACGCUGACACGUAGGUGAAGUGAUUUACUCAUGGAGCUGAAGUCAGUCGAAGAUACCAGCUGGCUGCAACUGUUUAUUAAAAACACAGCACUGUGCAAACACGAAAGUGGACGUAUACGGUGUGACGCCUGCCCGGUGCCGGAAGGUUAAUUGAUGGGGUCAGCGCAAGCGAAGCUCCUGAUCGAAGCCCCGGUAAACGGCGGCCGUAACUAUAACGGUCCUAAGGUAGCGAAAUUCCUUGUCGGGUAAGUUCCGACCUGCACGAAUGGCGUAAUGAUGGCCAGGCUGUCUCCACCCGAGACUCAGUGAAAUUGAACUCGCUGUGAAGAUGCAGUGUACCCGCGGCAAGACGGAAAGACCCCGUGAACCUUUACUAUAGCUUGACACUGAACAUUGAGCCUUGAUGUGUAGGAUAGGUGGGAGGCUUUGAAGUGUGGACGCCAGUCUGCAUGGAGCCGACCUUGAAAUACCACCCUUUAAUGUUUGAUGUUCUAACGUGGACCCGUUACCCGGGUUGCGGACAGUGUCUGGUGGGUAGUUUGACUGGGGCGGUCUCCUCCUAAAGAGUAACGGAGGAGCACGAAGGUUGGCUAAUCCUGGUCGGACAUCAGGAGGUUAGUGCAAUGGCAUAAGCCAGCUUGACUGCGAGCGUGACGGCGCGAGCAGGUGCGAAAGCAGGUCAUAGUGAUCCGGUGGUUCUGAAUGGAAGGGCCAUCGCUCAACGGAUAAAAGGUACUCCGGGGAUAACAGGCUGAUACCGCCCAAGAGUUCAUAUCGACGGCGGUGUUUGGCACCUCGAUGUCGGCUCAUCACAUCCUGGGGCUGAAGUAGGUCCCAAGGGUAUGGCUGUUCGCCAUUUAAAGUGGUACGCGAGCUGGGUUUAGAACGUCGUGAGACAGUUCGGUCCCUAUCUGCCGUGGGCGCUGGAGAACUGAGGGGGGCUGCUCCUAGUACGAGAGGACCGGAGUGGACGCAUCACUGGUGUUCGGGUUGUCAUGCCAAUGGCACUGCCCGGUAGCUAAAUGCGGAAGAGAUAAGUGCUGAAAGCAUCUAAGCACGAAACUUGCCCCGAG